UGGGGAAUAUUGCACAAUGGGCGCAAGCCUGAUGCAGCCAUGCCGCGUGUAUGAAGAAGGCCUUGGGUUGUAAAGUACUUUCAGCGGGGAGGAAGGCGUUGAGGUUAAUAACCUCAGCGAUUGACGUUACCCGCAGAAGAAGCACCGGCUAACUCCGUGCCAG
rnacentral:rRNA from 1 species